CCUACGGGAGGCAGCAGUGGGGAAUAUUGGACAAUGGGCGAAACCUGAUCCAGCCAUGCCGCGUGUGUGAAGAGGUCUUCGGAUUGUAAGCACUUUAAGUUGGGAGGCGUUACCGACAGAAUAAGCACCGGCUAACUCUGUGCCAGCAGCCGCGGUAAUACAGAGGGUGCAAGCGUUAAUCGGAAUGACUGGGCGUAAAGCGCGCGUAGGUGGUUUGUUAAGUUGAAUGUGAAAUCCCCGGGCUCAACCUGGGAACUGCAUCCAAAACUGGCAAGCUAGAGUAUGGUAGAGGGUGGUGGAAUUUCCUGUGUAGCGGUGAAAUGCGUAGAUAUAGGAAGGAACACCAGUGGCGAAGGCGACCACCUGGACUGAACUGACACUGAGGUGCGAAAGCGUGGGGAGCAAACAGGAUUAGAUACCCUUGUAGUC
rnacentral:rRNA from 1 species